UACGUAGGGGGCAAGCGUUGUCCGGAAUCAUUGGGCGUAAAGCGCGUGUAGGCGGCUCGGUAAGUCUGCUGUGAAAGUCCAGGGCUCAACCCUGGGAUGCCGGUGGAUACUGUCGAGCUCGAGUCCGGAAGAGGCGAGUGGAAUUCCUGGUGUAGCGGUGAAAUGCGCAGAUAUUGGGAAGAACACCUGAGGCGAAGGCGGGUUGCUGGGCCGACACUGACGCUGAGGCGCGAAAGCCAGGGGAGCAAACGGG
rnacentral:rRNA from 1 species